CAAUAGCGUAUAUUAAAGUUGUUGCAGUUAAAAAGCUCGUAGUUGGAUUUCUGGUCGAAGCAGCCGCUCGGCUUCUAGUAAGUUUGUAGCAGGCGCUUCGUCCAUUUUUGUAAAGACUAUGUCUGUCAUUAAGUUGGUGGGCAUAGGACUUGCAUCAUUUACUGUGAGCAAAAUAGAGUGUUCAAAGCAGGCUUAGGCCAUGAAUAUCUUAGCAUGGAAUAAUAAGAUAAGACCUUGGUCUAUUUUGUUGGUUAGCAUUCCGAGGUAAUGAUUAAUAGGGAUAGUUGGGGGUAUUCGUAUUCAAUUGUCAGAGGUGAAAUUCUUGGAUUUAUUGAAGACGAACUACUGCGAAAGCAUUUACCAAGGAUGUUUUCAUUAA
rnacentral:rRNA from 1 species